rnacentral:rRNA from 1 species
CGAACGGGUGAGUAACAACGUGGGCAACCUGCCCAAANAGGGGAGUAACACUUGGAAACAGGUGCUAAUACCGCAUAACCAUAGUUACCGCAUGGUAACUAUGUAAAAGGUGGCUAUGCUACCGCUUUUGGAUGGGCCCGCGGCGCAUUAGCUAGUUGGUGGGGUAAAGGCUUACCAAGGCAAUGAUGCGUAGCCGAACUGAGAGGUUGAUCGGCCACAUUGGGACUGAGACACGGCCCAAACUCCUACGGGAGGCAGCAG